UACGUAGGUGGCGAGCGUUGUCCGGAUUUACUGGGCGUAAAGUGUGCGCAGGUGGCCGCGCAAGUCGAGUGUGAAAGCCCCCGGCUCAACUGGGGAGGGUCACGCGAUACUGUUCGACUCGAAGGCAGGAGAGGGAAGUGGAAUUCCCGGUGUAGUGGUGAAAUGCGUAGAUAUCGGGAGGAACACCGGUGGCGAAGGCGGUUCUCUGGGCAUUACCUGACGCUGAGGAGCGAAAGUGUGGGGAGCGAACAGG
rnacentral:rRNA from 1 species